UUAAUUGAAGCUAAAAAGAAGCAAUUCAUUGUUAAUGAAUAAAAUGAAAAAAAAAAUUCCAAUUAAA
rnacentral:tRNA from 1 species